rnacentral:rRNA from 1 species
AGAGUUUGAUCAUGGCUCAGAAUGAACGCUGGCGGCGUGCCUAACACAUGCAAGUCGCGCGAGAAAGGGGGCUUCGGUUCCCGAGUAAAGUGGCGCACGGGUGAGUAACGCGUAGGCAACCUACCCCCGGGUUGGGGAUAACAGUGCGAAAGCGCUGCUAAUACCGGAUACGACAUUGGAGCGGGAGCUUCAAGGUGAAAGUCGGCCUCUCGAAGAAGCUGAUGUUCGGGGAUGGGCCUGCGUCCUAUCAGCUAGUUGGUAGGGUAACGGCCUACCAAGGCGACGACGGGUAGCUGGUCUGAGAGGAUGAUCAGCCACACUGGCACUGGAACACGGGCCAGACUCCUACGGGAGGCAGCAGUGAGGAAUUUUGCGCAAUGGCCGCAAGGCUGACGCAGCAACGCCGCGUGGGUGAAGAAGGCCUUCGGGUCGUAAAGCCCUGUCAGGUGGGAAGAAAGGCUUGGGGGUGAACAGCUCUUGAGUUUGACGGUACCACCAGAGGAAGCACCGGCUAACUCCGUGCCAGCAGCCGCGGUAAUACGGAGGGUGCGAGCGUUAUUCGGAAUUACUGGGCGUAAAGCGCGUGUAGGCGGGGAAGCAAGUCUGAUGUGAAAGCCCUGGGCUUAACCUGGGAAGUGCAUUGGAAACUGUUUUUCUUGAGUACUGGAGAGGAAGGGAGAAUUCCCGGUGUAGAGGUGAAAUUCGUAGAGAUCGGGAGGAACACCAGUGGCGAAGGCGCCCUUCUGGACGGUUACUGACGCUGAGACGCGAGAGCGUGGGGAGCAAACAGGAUUAGAUACCCUGGUAGUCCACGCUGUAAACGAUGAUCACUAGGUGUAGCGGGUAAUCAUUCCUGCUGUGCCGUAGCUAACGCGUUAAGUGAUCCGCCUGGGGAUUACGGUCGCAAGACUAAAACUCAAAGGAAUUGACGGGGGCCCGCACAAGCGGUGGAGUAUGUGGUUUAAUUCGACGCAACGCGAAGAACCUUACCUUG